rnacentral:tRNA from 2 species
GGAAGGAUGCAGGAGUGGCUGAACUGGCACGCCUGGAAAGCGUGUGUACCCGAUGAGGGUACCGAGGGUUCGAAUCCCUCUCCUUCCG